rnacentral:rRNA from 1 species
UGGGGAAUAUUGCACAAUGGGCGCAAGCCUGAUGCAGCAACGCCGCGUGAGGGACGACGGCCUUCGGGUUGUAAACCUCUUUUAGUAGGGAAGAAGCGAAAGUGACGGUACCUGCAGAAAAAGCACCGGCUAACUACGUGCCAGCAGCCGCGGUAAUACGUAGGGUGCGAGCGUUGUCCGGAAUUAUUGGGCGUAAAGAGCUCGUAGGCGGUCUGUCGCGUCUGCUGUGAAAACCCGAGGCUCAACCUCGGGCCUGCAGUGGGUACGGGCAGACUAGAGUGCGGUAGGGGAGAAUGGAAUUCCUGGUGUAGCGGUGGAAUGCGCAGAUAUCAGGAGGAACACCGAUGGCGAAGGCAGUUCUCUGGGCCGUAACUGACGCUGAGGAGCGAAAGCGUGGGGAGCGAACAGGAUUAGAUACCCUGGUAGUCCACGCCGUAAAACGUUGGGCGCUAGAUGUGGGGACCAUUCCACGGUUUCCGUGUCGCAGCUAACGCAUUAAGCGCCCCGCCUGGGGAGUACGGCCGCAAGGCU